GCCUUUGGCCCAGCAAUAUUACUACUAGGCAUAUUUCCAAAGAUGUCAAAGACAGAUGAAAAGGACUCAAAUAUGUAGAAGAAUUUGCAUCAGCUCCUUUCAUUGAAGCAGAGUUGGAAACAAAAUAUGUGACAACCAAUUGAAGAAUAGCAAAAACAAAUGGGGAGUAUGAAUGUAAUGGAAUAUUAUUGUGUCAUAAGGAGUGAUGAAUAUGCCUGAGUCAGAGAGACAUGGGAAGACUUGCAUGGACUAGUACUGAAUGAAAUGAGAAGAAUCAGAUUUACAUGAAGAUCACAAUAAUACAGAGAGAAAUAACGUUGAGAGAGGACAGAACUCAGAUCCAUUACUAGUCAGUGUCUAAUCAUAACUUCUGAUGGCUGAUGAUGAAACUUGCUACCUACUCUUGGCAGGAAAAUGCCUACAAAAGUGAAAAUGGAAAUCAUGCCACUGGCCAUCUACCGACCUCACCCGGGAUGAGAGAUUAAUGAGAUCAUGUCUGUAAAAGUUCUUGAAGCCCUGGGGAGAAAAGGGCUAUUAAAAUACAAAGUGUUAUUAGGAUCUUACAAGUGGUGCUUGGCACUAUCUUGUUUGUCUGUGUGCCCCAGGCUUCUACCCAUCUGGUUUGGAGAAAAGCUGUCAUUACCUGCCACCUCCCAGACACUGGCUGAAGGCUGAGGGGCCAUUUUCGAGACAAGACCGGGAGAAAUCAGGACAACCUUCUCGGGUAUCUCCCAUUGUCUAUGAUCUUUCAGAGAUCACUGACAGUAAUCACAUCUGCCAGGUAUUUCAAUUCCCUGGGAUGUAGUUCAUCUGGGUCUGAUGACUUAAACCUGAUGAGGUAGGUGCUUUCUUAUUAUCUUCCUGCCUAUCUUAAGUAUCAUCUCCCCAUUAGCCAUUUUUGUCAAGAUUCUUCUCCUUGUCAGAGAAAACAGAUUCUAAAAAGAUCCACUGUACCUGGCAUCAGAGGGCAGAACCAAGAGUAAUGAAUAGCUGAUUGUUGCAAAGAGGCAG
rnacentral:lncRNA from 1 species